rnacentral:tRNA from 1 species
AUCUAAAUAGUUUAAUUAAAAUAUUAGUUUGUGGUACUAAAGAUAUAAAAUUUAUUUUAGAUU